GUGGGUAUAGCUUAGUGGUAGAGCGUAUGCUCAACAUGCACGAGGUGCUGGGUUCAAUCCCAAGUACCUCCA
rnacentral:tRNA from 1 species